CGUAGGGUGCGAGCGUUAAUCGGAAUUACUGGGCGUAAAGCGUGCGCAGGCGGUUAUGUAAGACAGAUGUGAAAUCCCCGGGCUCAACCUGGGGACUGCAUUUGUGACUGCAUAGCUAGAGUACGGUAGAGGGGGAUGGAAUUCCGCGUGUAGCAGUGAAAUGCGUAGAUAUGCGGAGGAACACCGAUGGCGAAGGCAAUCCCCUGGACCUGUACUGACGCUCAUGCACGAAAGCGUGGGGAGCAAACAGGAUUAGAUACCCUGGUAGUCCACGCCCUAAACGAUGUCAACUGGUUGUUGGGUCUUCACUGACUCAGUAACGAAGCUAACGCGUGAAGUUGACCGCCUGGGGAGUACGGCCGCAAGGUUG
rnacentral:rRNA from 1 species